rnacentral:rRNA from 1 species
UACAAAGGGGGCUAGCGUUGCUCGGAAUCACUGGGCGUAAAGCGCACGUAGGCGGCUUCUUAAGUCAGGGGUGAAAUCCUGGAGCUCAACUCCAGAACUGCCUUUGAUACUGAGGAGCUUGAGUCCGGGAGAGGUGAGUGGAACUGCGAGUGUAGAGGUGAAAUUCGUAGAUAUUCGCAAGAACACCAGUGGCGAAGGCGGCUCACUGGCCCGGUACUGACGCUGAGGUGCGAAAGCGUGGGGAGCAAACAGG